rnacentral:tRNA from 18 species
GCUUUGGGAGCCGUAGGUCGCAGGUUCGAAUCCUGCCUUCC